rnacentral:rRNA from 1 species
GUGAGGAAUAUUGGGCAAUGGGGGCAACCCUGACCCAGCGACGCCGCGUGGGUGAAGAAAUCCCUCGGGAUGUAAAGCCCUGUUGUAUGGGAAGAGCAGAAGACGGUACCAUACGAGGAAGCCCCGGCAAACUACGUGCCAGCAGCCGCGGUAAUACGUAGGGGGCAAGCGUUGUCCGGAAUUACUGGGCGUAAAGCGCACGCAGGCUGAAUUAUAAGUCGGUAGUCAAAUACGGAGGCUCAACUUCCGGAUAUCUAUCGAUACUGUAAAUCUAGAGUAUGUGAGAGGGAAGCGGAAUUCCCGGUGUAGCGGUGAAAUGCGUAGAUAUUAGGAGGAACACCAGUGGCGAAGGCGGCUUGCUGGACGACAACUGACGCUGAGGCGCGAAAGCGUGGGGAGCAAACAGGAUUAGAUACCCGGGUAGUCC